rnacentral:rRNA from 1 species
UUGAACGCUGGCGGCAGGCCUAACACAUGCAAGUCGAACGGUAACAGGAAGAAGCUUGCUUCUUUGCUGACGAGUGGCGGACGGGUGAGUAAUGUCUGGGAAACUGCCUGAUGGAGGGGGAUAACUACUGGAAACGGUAGCUAAUACCGCAUAACGUCGCAAGACCAAAGAGGGGGACCUUCGGGCCUCUUGCCAUCGGAUGUGCCCAGAUGGGAUUAGCUAGUAGGUGGGGUAACGGCUCACCUAGGCGACGAUCCCUAGCUGGUCUGAGAGGAUGACCAGCCACACUGGAACUGAGACACGGUCCAGACUCCUACGGGAGGCAGCAGUGGGGAAUAUUGCACAAUGGGCGCAAGCCUGAUGCAGCCAUGCCGCGUGUAUGAAGAAGGCCUUCGGGUUGUAAAGUACUUUCAGCGGGGAGGAAGGGAGUAAAGUUAAUACCUUUGCUCAUUGACGUUACCCGCAGAAGAAGCACCGGCUAACUCCGUGCCAGCAGCCGCGGUAAUACGGAGGGUGCAAGCGUUAAUCGGAAUUACUGGGCGUAAAGCGCACGCAGGCGGUUUGUUAAGUCAGAUGUGAAAUCCCCGGGCUCAACCUGGGAACUGCAUCUGAUACUGGCAAGCUUGAGUCUCGUAGAGGGGGGUAGAAUUCCAGGUGUAGCGGUGAAAUGCGUAGAGAUCUGGAGGAAUACCGGUGGCGAAGGC